rnacentral:rRNA from 1 species
AGUGAACGCUGGCGGCAGGCCUAACACAUGCAAGUCGAAUGGAUCCUUCGGGAUUAGUGGCGGACGGGUGAGUAACGCGUGGGAACAUACCCUUUGGUACGGAAUAGCCUCGGGAAACUGGGAGUAAUACCGUAUGUGGUCGAGAGACGAAAGAUUUAUCGCCAAAGGAUUGGCCCGCGUUGGAUUAGGUAGUUGGUGGGGUAAUGGCCUACCAAGCCGACGAUCCAUAGCUGGUUUGAGAGGAUGAUCAGCCACACUGGGACUGAGACACGGCCCAGACUCCUACGGGAGGCAGCAGUGGGGAAUCUUAGACAAUGGGGGAAACCCUGAUCUAGCCAUGCCGCGUGAUCGAUGAAGGCCUUAGGGUUGUAAAGAUCUUUCAGGUGGGAAGAUAAUGACUGUACCACCAGAAGAAGCCCCGGCUAACUCCGUGCCAGCCGCCGCGGUAAAAC